rnacentral:tRNA from 1 species
GGGCCUGUAGCUCAGCUGGGAGAGCGCUGCGUUCGCAUCGCUGAGGUCAAGGGUUCGAAUCCCUCCAGGUCCACCA